GGGCAGUCUUAACUGAAAUGGUUUGAAAUAUAAUGCAAACUACUGUAUUGCAGGGAAAAAGGAAAGAAACAUGGAGAGAGAUAAACAACAAGCUGGAUGGGGAAGAUGAUUUGUAAUGGAGAGAGUUGUAUGCUUCUCUUGUCUAGCAAAUGUAACACCUGCCUGCAGGAUGCCAUCCUUCCAGAAUGCUCUAGAGUCCAUCCUGCAAGACACCACCUCCAACACGUCUUUCAUAAAUGACACCAUAACAUCUGCUCAUGUACAGACUGAUAUCAAGACACUCAUGACCAAUUCUGCCUGCUCCUACAGAAAUUUUGACCAAUAUUAUAUAAUAUUGUUUGUGUGUACUUUCUGAGCAACUUAUUGAAAUCUAAAAAAAAUAAUAAUGCACACCUCUACCUCAGUAAA